GAAAAGCACAUCUGAACGCCAAGUAUGCAAUGCUCACUCAUACUAACAUCGGUACUGUUGCUUACCAGCUGUUCGUUUGAAACGAAAGCCUACACUUUUGAUCUACAGAAAGAAUGGGCUUUUCGUCCACAAGCUCAGAACAAAGGAUAUGGAAGGAGUUGCAGAAAUAGCACUGAAUGCGCAAAAGGGCUUUGUUGUGUGCGAAAACACUCACGAGCUUUUUGUGAGUCCUUGGCCUUACCAGGAAGGCGAUGCAGUAAUGAUCAAUUAAAGGGAAAUUGCUACCAUCUUUACUGCCCUUGCAUCCUAGGAUAUGAUGAAUGUCAAGACGGCUACUGCAGCUACCAGGCGUGGCAGGAGUAAAUACGUACAUUGUCUCCUACUACAGUA
rnacentral:lncRNA from 1 species